rnacentral:rRNA from 1 species
GCCUACGGGGGCAGCAGUGGGGAAUAUUGCACAAUGGGGGAAACCCUGAUGCAGCAACGCCGCGUGAGUGAAGAAGUCAUUCGUGAUGUAAAGCUCUAUCAGCAGGGAAGAAAAUGACGGUACCUGAGUAAGAAGCCCCGGCUAACUACGUGCCAGCAGCCGCGGUAAUACGUAGGGGGCAAGCGUUAUCCGGAUUUACUGGGUGUAAAGGGAGCGUAGACGGCAGGGCAAGUCUGGAGUGAAAGGCAGGGGCCCAACCCCUGGACUGCUCUGGAAACUGUCCGGCUGGAGUGCAGGAGAGGUAG